AAGCUCGUAGUUGAAUUUCGGGAUUAGUACGUCGGUCGUGCCUUAGGUACGUACUGGUGUUACUGGUUCCUACCUUCUGACGAACCAUCAUGUCAUUAAUUUGGUGUGGUGGGGAAUCAGGACUGUUACUUUGAAAAAAUUAGAGUGUUUAAAGCAGGCUCGCCGCUUGAAUACAUUAGCAUGGGAAAUAAUGAAAUAGGACGUUAGAUCCUAUUUUGUUGGUUUCUAGGAUUGACGUAAUGAUUAAUAGGGAUAGUUGGG
rnacentral:rRNA from 1 species